rnacentral:misc_RNA from 2 species
UGUGGGAGCGGGCUUGCUCGCGAAGAGGUCUUAUCAGCCAACAUUGAAGUCGCCUGACACGCCGCUUUCGCGAGCAAGCCCGCUCCCACA